rnacentral:misc_RNA from 1 species
UACGGAGGGUGCAAGCGUUGUCCGGAAUUAUUGGGUGUAAAGGGUGCGCAGGCGGAAGCCUAAGUCGGAGGUGAAAUCUUACCGCUUAACGGUAAAAGUGCCCCCGAUACUGGGUUUCUUGAGUCCAGAAGAGGUUGGUGGAAUUCGUGGUGUAGCGGUGAAAUGCAUAGAGAUCACGAAGAACACCGGUGGCGAAGGCGGCCAACUGGUCUGGUACUGACGCUGAGGCACGAGAGCGUGGGGAGCGAACAGG